rnacentral:rRNA from 1 species
AGCGAACGCUGGCGGCAGGCCUAACACAUGCAAGUCGAACGAACUCACCGGAGUUAGUGGCGGAUGGGUGAGUAACCCGAGGGAACGUGCCCAUUGGUUCGGAAUAACUCAGGGAAACUUGUGCUAAUACCGAACGUGACCUACGGGGGAAAGAUUUAUCGCACUUGGAGGGGCCGGAGUCUGAUAAGCUAGUUGGUGCGGUAAUGGCUCAACAAGGCGACAAUCAGUAGCUGGUUUGAGAGAAUGACUAGCAACACUGGGACUGAGACCCGGCCGAGACUCCUACGGGAGGCAGCAGUGGGUGAUCGAGCACAAUGGGCGAAAGGCUGACGCAGCCAGGCCGCGUGAAUGAUGAAAGUCUUAAGAUUGUAAUGUUCUUUCACCGAUGAAGGUAAUGACGGUACCCGGAGAGAAAGCCCCGGCUAACUUCGUG